GAUGAACGCUGGCGGCGUGCCUAAUACAUGCAAGUCGAGCGAACAGACGAGGAGCUUGCUCCUCUGACGUUAGCGGCGGACGGGUGAUUAACACGUGGAUAACCUACCUAUAAGACUGGGAUAACUUCGGGAAACCGGAGCUAAUACCGGAUAAUAUAUUGAACCGCAUGGUUCAAUAGUGAAAGACGGUUUUGCUGUCACUUAUAGAUGGAUCCGCGCCGCAUUAGCUGGUUGGUAAGGUAACGGCUUACCAAGGCAACGCUGCGUAGCCGACCUGAGAGGGUGACAGGCCACACUGGAACUAAGCCACGGUCCAGACUCCUACGGGAGGCAGCAGUAGGGAAUCUUCCGCAAUGGGCGAAAGCCUGACGGAGCAACGCCGCGUGAGUGAUGAGGGUCUUCGGAUCGUAAAACUCUGUUAUUCGGGAAGAACAAAUGUGUAAGUACAUAUGCACGUCUUGACGGUCCCUAAUCAGAAAGCCACGGCUAACUACGUG
rnacentral:rRNA from 1 species